rnacentral:rRNA from 1 species
GAGUAGUACUAGGAUGGGUGACCUCCUUGGAAGUCCUCGUGUUGCACCCCU